UUAAGCUCUUUGUGCUUCUGUGUGAUUUUUCUACAUUGAUACAGAUUCGUACACUCUUACACUUCGGGGGAUAUGCCUUCCUGAGAAACUCCGGCAGUCUGUUUCAAAGUUUUGGGUUUGAUACUCAACCGCAUGCCAUAACACCUAUCCAGCGUCUAGUAAACUUUGCGCGUCACCUUGUGAGUCGAGCUUUUGAAUUUCAGGCUGAUGCUUUUGAUAAGAAACUUGGUUAUGCCUCUUCGCUUCAAGCCAGUCUUGUUAGGCUACAGGAAGAGAAUUUGACAGCUAUAAAUACUGAUCCUUGGUACUCAGCAUAUCACUAUUCUCAUCCUCCGCUAGUCGAAAGGCUGAGACAGACAAGAAGGCAGACUGAUAUAUGCAACCUAUAUAUGGAUGAUCAGCACAGCAGUAGGAUCAUCAAGACAUCAACUACCAUUAUAUUUCAAGACAUAAUG